GACGAACGCUGGCGGCGUGCUUAACACAUGCAAGUCGAACGGAAAGGUCCUGCUUUUGUGGGGUGCUCGAGUGGCGAACGGGUGAGUAACACGUGAGUAACCUGCCCUUGACUUUGGGAUAACUUCAGGAAACUGGGGCUAAUACCGGAUAGGAGCUCCUGCUGCAUGGUGGGGGUUGGAAAGUUUCGGCGGUUGGGGCUGGACUCGCGGCUUAUCAGCUUGUUGGUGGGGUAGUGGCUUACCAAGGCUUUGACGGGUAGCCGGCCUGAGAGGGUGACCGGCCACCUUGGGCCUGCGAUACGGCCCAGACUCCUACGGGAGGCAGCAGUGGGGAAUAUUGCACAAUGGGCGGAAGCCUGAGACAGCAACGCCGCGUGCGGGAUGACGGCCUUCGGGUUGUAAACCGCUUUCGACUGUGACGAAGCGUGCGUGACGGUAAUGGGUAAAGAAGCACCGGCUAACUACGUG
rnacentral:rRNA from 1 species